AUUGAACGCUGGCGGCAUGCCUUACACAUGCAAGUCGAACGGCAGCACGGGAGCAAUCCUGGUGGCGAGUGGCGAACGGGUGAGUAAUAUAUCGGAACGUGCCCGGUCGUGGGGAUAACGUAGCGAAAGCUACGCUAAUACCGCAUACGAUCUACGGAUGAAAGCGGGGGAUCGCAAGACCUCGCGCGAUUGGAGCGGCCGAUAUCAGAUUAGGUAGUUGGUGAGGUAAAGGCUCACCAAGCCGACGAUCUGUAGCUGGUCUGAGAGGACGACCAGCCACACUGGGACUGAGACACGGCCCAGACUCCCUACGGGAGGCAGCAGUGGGAAUUUUGGACAAUGGGCGCAAGCCUGAUCCAGCAAUGCCGCGUGCAGGAU
rnacentral:rRNA from 1 species